rnacentral:rRNA from 1 species
GACAGAGGGUGCAAACGUUGUUCGGAAUUACUGGGCGUAAAGCGCUCGCAGGUGGUCCGUCGCGUCGUGCGUGAAAGCCCCCGGCUCAACUGGGGAGUGUCGUGCGAUACGGGCGGACUGGAGGCCAGUAGGGGGAUGCGGAAUUCCGGGUGUAGUGGUGGAAUGCGUAGAGAUCCGGAGGAACACCAGCGGCGAAGGCGGCAUCCUGGACUGGUCCUGACACUCAUGAGCGAAAGCGUGGGGAGCGAUCCGG